rnacentral:sRNA from 1 species
CAGGUGGUGCAUGGUUGUCGUCAGCUCGUGUCGUGAGAUGUUAGGUUAACUCCUAAAACGAGCGCAACCCUUGUCACUAGUUGCCAGCAUGUUAUGAUGGGCACUUUAGUGAGACUGCCAAUGAAAAAUUGGAGGAAGGUGAGGAUCACGUCAAAUCAUCAUGCCCCUUAUGAUCUGGGCUACAAACGUGAUACAAUGGCUGUUACAAAGAGUAGCUAAAACGCGAGUUUAUAGCCAAUCUCAUAAAAGCAGUCUCAGUUCGGAUUGAAGUCUGCAACUCGACUUCAUGAAGUUGGAAUCGCUAGUAAUCGCGAAUCAGCAUGUCGCGGUGAAUACGUUCUCGGGGUUUGUACACACCGCCCGUCAAACCACGAAAGUUGGUAAUACUCGAAAACGGUAGCCUAACUUCUUCGGAAGAGGGAACCGUCUAAGGUAGGAUCGAUGAUUGGGGUUAAGUCGUAACAAGGUAUCCCUACCGGAAGGUGGGGAUGGAUCACCUCCUUUCUAAGGAAAAGAAAAUUUUUUAAAUUUUCAUCUUCAGUUUUGAAAGACUUAGUUCUAAUAAGUAGUAAGUUUUUCUCUUUUAAGAAAAAGGAAGGGCCUAUAGCUCAGUUGGUUAGAGCACACGCCUGAUAAGCGUGAGGUCGAUGGUUCAAGUCCAUUUAGGCCCACCAACUGAUCAAUAAGGUCAUCUUUCUAAUUCUUAAAAAAAGUUCUUUGAAAAGUAGAUAAACAAAGUAAAAUAAUAGAAAUCAAAGGAAUUAAGGGCGUACAGUGGAUGCCUUGGCACUAAGAGCCGAUGAAGGACG